rnacentral:rRNA from 1 species
GAUGGUGCUUGCACUAUCACUUAGCGGCGGACGGGUGAGUAAUGCUUAGGAAUCUGCCUAUUAGUGGGGGACAACAUCUCGAAAGGGAUGCUAAUACCGCAUACGUCCUACGGGAGAAAGCAGGGGAUCACUUGUGACCUUGCGCUGAUAGAUGAGCCUAAGUCGGAUUAGCUAGUUGGUGGGGUAAGGGCCUACCAAGGCGACGAUCUGUAGCGGGUCUGAGAGGAUGAUCCGCCACACUGGGACUGAGACACGGCCCAGACUCCUACGGGAGGCAGCAGUGGGGGAUAUUGGACAAUGGGGGGAACCCUGAUCCAGCCAUGCCGCGUGUGUGAAGAAGGCCUUAUGGUUGUAAAGCACUUUAAGCGAGGAGGAGGCUCUUUUAGUUAAUACCCAAGAUGAGUGGACGUUACUCGCAGAAUAAGCACCGGCUAACUCUGUGCCAGCAGCCGCGGUAAUACAGAGGGUGCAAGCGUUAAUCGGAUUUACUGGGCGUAAAGCGCGCGUAGGCGGCCAAUUAAGUCAAAUGUGAAAUCCCCGAGCUUAACUUGGGAAUUGCAUUCGAUACUGGUUGGCUAGAGUGUGGGAGAGGAUGGUAGAAUUCCAGGUGUAGCGGUGAAAUGCGUAGAGAUCUGGAGGAAUACCGAUGGCGAAGGCAGCCAUCUGGCCUAACACUGACGCUGAGGUGCGAAAGCAUGGGGAGCAAACAGGAUUAGAUACCCUGGUAGUCCAUGCCGUAAACGAUGUCUACUAGCCGUUGGGGCCUUUGAGGCUUAGUGGCGCAGCUAACGCGAUAAGUAGACCGCCUGGGGAGUACGGUCGCAAGACUAAAACUCAAAUGAAUUGACGGGGGCCCGCACAAGCGGUGGAGCAUGUGGUUUAAUUCGAUGCAACGCGAAGAACCUUACCUGGCUUUGACAUAGU